AGGACAUGAAGAAAGUGUUUGGAGAUAUGGAACAACAAGAUCGUUAUGUCGAUUCUUUCUUGGACUAUCUCGUUGCUCAUCGUAAGAAUUGAGCUGGACCGAUCAAUUCGACUGGAAGAUAUUGACAUGGAAGAGUCUCUGAUCAAACGUGUGUGUUUCUGUUAUGUUGCUUGCAGCUUAAUCUUUUUUGUUUUUCUUUUCAAAAAUUGAUCUUCUUGAUCAUUGAUCGCUUAAACUAAGUACUUUCAUGAGAUUUCAAAAUAAAAUGUAGCAUCGAUUCUAUCUUAAUAAAAGCGUAUCCAAAAAUGUUCUUUUGUUUCCAUCAUCUUUUCAAUAUGGCUUUACUUUUCGGUAACGUAAAAAUGCUUCUUGUAAUUAGAGUG
rnacentral:lncRNA from 1 species